rnacentral:rRNA from 2 species
UAGACCGCCUGGGGAGUACGGCCGCAAGGUUAAAACUCAAAUGAAUUGACGGGGGCCCGCACAAGCGGUGGAGCAUGUGGUUUAAUUCGAUGCAACGCGAAGAACCUUACCUGGUCUUGACAUCCACGGAAGUUUUCAGAGAUGAGAAUGUGCCUUCGGGAACCGUGAGACAGGUGCUGCAUGGCUGUCGUCAGCUCGUGUUGUGAAAUGUUGGGUUAAGUCCCGCAACGAGCGCAACCCUUAUCCUUUGUUGCCAGCGAUUCGGUCGGGAACUCAAAGGAGACUGCCAGUGAUAAACUGGAGGAAGGUGGGGAUGACGUCAAGUCAUCAUGGCCCUUACGACCAGGGCUACACACGUGCUACAAUGGCGCAUACAAAGAGAAGCGACCUCGCGAGAGCAAGCGGACCUCAUAAAGUGCGUCGUAGUCCGGAUUGGAGUCUGCAACUCGACUCCAUGAAGUCGGAAUCGCUAGUAAUCGUGGAUCAGAAUGCCACGGUGAAUACGUUCCCGGGCCUUGUACACACCGCCCGUCACACCAUGGGAGUGGGUUGCAAAAGAAGUAGGUAGCUUAACCUUCGGGAGGGCGCUUACCACUUUGUGAUUCAUGACUGGGGUGAAGUCGUAACAAGGUAACCGUAGGGGAACCUGCGGUUGGAUCACCUCCUUACCUUAAAGAAGC